rnacentral:rRNA from 1 species
GUCUACGGCCUUACCACCCUGAACACACCUAACCUUGUCUGAUCAUGGAGGCUGAGCGGGGCCAGGCUUGCUUAGAACGUAGACA